rnacentral:tRNA from 1 species
GUUUUAGUAGUUUAAAUAAAAACACUGGUCUUGUAAACCAAUAUUAGGCUAUUGCUUCUAAAACU